AUGAAGUCAUUUUCAGUAUUUAUUUUAAGAAACAGCGCUGCGUUGGGAAGGGCCAGUGAUUCAGGUUGGACCGGGAGCCGGACGGCCUCAUCCAGGACGCUGAACAAUCGCUCUUAUGACAUCAUGGUGAGACCUCGUGUUUGCUCACCGCAGCGAGGAGAGGAGUCGGUGCGUCUUGGGCUCUGGCCGCCUUCCCACAGUCUGGGCCCGUCUCCUGUGCCAAGAAGCUUCCUUACACGUUCGCCCAAGCACAGAGGCGGCCUCUGGGACGGCAGACGGGCUCGUUCUGCUGAAACCGGCGGCUGCCCCUGCGCGAUGUGCCCCCCACAGGCGCCGCCCCUCUGCCCUCUCGUGGGGUCAGGCUCCCGGGGCCGCUCUCCCUCGCACACGCAUACACAUGUGCCUAGCGUCAGCUGGAAUACGGUGUCGGGGGCAGUCCAGGCAAAGAAACAAAACGAGAGGAUAGAAAUAAAGACUGAAAGCGGAGGCCCCUGGAUCACGCCGACGAGGGGGAGCAGGGCCCCGCAGGCCCCUCUACCCUCCGCAGAGGGUCCCCUGGAACAGCCCAGGGCAGGUGGAAGCUAACGACAGGGGCAGGCUUCUGGAGCCCCGAGUCGGCUGGAGGACCGCACGCGGAGAUGGGAGUCUUUGCAGUCCCGUCUGUCCUAGCGCGCAGCCGCUGUGGGUCCCGCUGCCGCGGUGACCUUGACGCGGCGUCCUCUCACCUGAGGUUGCAGGGAGCAGAGGGGGCCACGCUCCCCGCCCACCCCCCCACUCAGAGCCCCUGCCUGUUGCUGUUUGGCCCUGCAGCGCCUUCUCCGUGGCCCCUGAAAUACAGGGUCACAUCUUUCCCAUUUCUGAAACCGUUUCGUGCUCUCUCUCAGGGUAAUGAACUUGGGCUACCUGUAAAUUUACCCCCUUCUUCACUUCCGUACGACUCUCGCUUGCUCCUGGCUUCCCCACCCUUCCCCUAAAUGAUUUUUCCUGCCGUGGUAUCGCCCAGAUUCUUUUUUUUUUCUUUUUGUACUUGUGUGAUGAGUCAGCGCUUCUCAUUUAGGGCCGCGCAUAUUAAAACCUUUCUGCAGCUCAGACUGGAUGCUUCUCUUUCAUUCCUAAACACUCCGCUCUCGGUCUCUCCGGCGAGGGCUGGCCACUGCCUAGUUAUUUGCUCACUUUCCAAUAUUUGUUAAGGACCCACUCUGUGCCAAGCUUGGGAAGAAGCUGGCCGGCCUCGGUGGAGCCGGGGCCCUGACUGGCGACCUGAUUCCGUCGCGAACGGCAUUCGUGAGCAGGGCACAGAGUGCACCACCCGCGGUCACACAGACCAGGAUUUGCCUCCGCGGACGUGCCCGCGGGCUGUUUGAUCGGGAGAAGUAGCUUCACACACACGCAGUCACGUCCCCAGCUGUAAACAGAACACGCCACUGCCCAGACGAACGAACUGAGGAACAGCGGCUACCGCAGGUGAAGCCCUGGGACCUCCGCGUGGUGGUUACUCGUAAGGGUUUUUAUUUCCAACCUGUCUCCGGCGCGGAAGCCUGUCGGAGAAACAACAGCGACACAGUCCCCACGCUCCCAGGGCCCA
rnacentral:lncRNA from 1 species